rnacentral:tRNA from 1 species
AGCAGCGUGGCUCAGUGGAAAGAGCACGGGCUUGGGAGUCAGAGGUCAUGGGUUCGAAUCCAGGCUCUGUUA